rnacentral:rRNA from 1 species
AACGUAGGAGGCGAGCGUUAUCCGGAUUUACUGGGUGUAAAGCGCAUGCAGGCGGUUCGCUAAGUUGGGUGUGAAAGCUCCUGGCCUAACUGGGAGAGGUCGCUCAAGACUGGCGGGCUAGAGCGUGGUAGGGGAAGGCGGAAUUCCGGGUGUAGUGGUGAAAUGCGUAGAUAUCCGGAGGAACACCAGUGGCGAAAGCGGCCUUCUAGGCCACGACUGACGCUCAGAUGCGACAGCUAGGGGAG